AAACAAGUACGUAUGGAUGGCUAGUAUAUGGAAGAGAUUUCUUCAUUACUACAAAUGGAACAUAGAAUACUAGGCCACUGAUGACAAAGAUGAAGGCAUACAGGAACUCGAUCCUUGGAUCAUUGAUUAUUGGGGCUAUCACUAGGUAUAUGGACACACAGAGAACACUUAUGGGUAGAAUAAUGGGCACCUGUCAAAAAUAACACACACAUUAAAAGGGUAACAAGGAACUUGCAAAUAACUUAAUUGUAAAAAGAAUCUAACAGGCAUGAAAGCCAGUGUUUAUUCUGUCAAAAUAUUUUAUAUAAUAAUGCAUUAUCUCAGUUUUAUAUACAAUCAAUGACUUUUUAUGUAAAGCUUAUCUCUAUGUACGCUCAAAUGAAGGAGAAGCUUCCCCACCUUGUAAGGUCUCUCAACAUCUUUCAUGGUGUAUCUAAGAACCAACAAUGCUGCCAUUGUACUGCCGUAAAACAUCCAGGCUGUGAAGCUGAAGAAAUCAAUCAGAGCAAAGAUGUCUCCCAAUAGGACCAUUAAAGCAGCCAGGAAAGUCUGCAAAACAAGGAGAGGUCAAUCAAUAGAUACUAUAAAAGGAAACUUGGCUAUGUCAGUUAUCACAGUCUUUGAAGAGUAUGUGAACUGUUUACGCUAUUUAGUUUUUAUCGAUGCAAUUAAUCAGUCUUAUAGCCAGAAGUUAGCUGAUGUUUUUAUCAGAAAGCUUCUUACAGAAACCAACAGAGAUGGGAGAGGGGUGAACUUCUUCAGAUGAACGUAGGACAGGACCUGAGGUAGAUGACCCUCCCUGGCGGCCACAAAUGUUAAUCUACAAACAAACAAAGUGAUUCGAUGAAAAAAUGAAAGAACACGUAGUCCAUAACAGGCUACAGGAAACCAAAUCUCAUUUUUGUGAUUGUAACGUUUGUGUUAUUUGCCUGUACAAAUAGCAGUACCUCAAAGUUGCUAAUAUUUGCUAUUUUGAACCAUUAAUGCAUGUUAAACCAACAUACAAAGUAAAUGUACUAUAUCAAAAAAUUGUCCUAGUUUUCUAACCACUUGAUUUGACAUAGCUUCAAGUUAGUUUAAAAUAUUCUCUAAUAAAAGCUUUGAAAUUCAAUUUAUUUUGGAGACUGUAUAAUGUCUUAAUACAUUGGCAAUUUCUUGAUCCUAAAAUUUUGUACCUUCCUCCAGUGAAACAUGAGCCAUUGGCAGCACCAAAUGUGGACAGGGCCACAGAUAUAGGUAUAAAGACUGCAGCAACACCCAAAACCCUGUCUCCCCAGGUCUACAAAUAACAACACAGAACUCAUUCAGUAUUCAUGCAAGAAUAAAAUAUGGAGAUGCUUUUGAUUUAUGAUCAUACAUGUACAAUAAUGAAGUGAAUUUAAUGGAGUUAUAAGGGUCUUUGAGAUAUGUAUUUAUCACAAAUCUCAAACAUUUCAGAGUCAUUAUCAGAAUGAAGGCUGAAAAUUCUUUUCUUUAGGAAGUAAGCGAAUGUUGUGUGUUGUGAAUGGAUUUGAACCACUAACCGCAGCGACAGCUGUGGACUGGAGCAGCUCUGCGCGGGUCAUCACAGUGAGGUAGGACAGGUUGGUGAACAGGUAACACACCGUCACCAGGGGGAUACCAAUCAUGAUGGCCAGGGGAAGAUUCCUGUCAUCAACAACAAAAACACCCAUCAGUUAUAUUUUGUCUAUAGACUGUCCUAUACUUUCAUUAAAGCACAUCUUCCUUU
rnacentral:sRNA from 1 species